UACGUAGGGUGCAAGCGUUGUCCGGAAUUGUUGGGCGUAAAGAGCUCGUAGGCGGUCUGUCGCGUCGGAUGUGAAAACCCGGGGCUUAACCCCGGGCCUGCAUUCGAUACGGGCAGACUCGAGUGUGGUAGGGGAGACUGGAACUCCUGGUGUAGCGGUGAAAUGCGCAGAUAUCAGGAAGAACACCGGUGGCGAAGGCGGGUCUCUGGGCCGAUAUCGACGCUGAGGAGCGAAAGCGUGGGGAGCAAACAGG
rnacentral:rRNA from 1 species